UACGGAGGAUCCGAGCGUUAUCCGGAUUUAUUGGGUUUAAAGGGUGCGCAGGCGGGGGAUUAAGUCGGCGGUGAAAUUUUGCAGCUCAACUGUAAAAGUGCCUUCGAAACUGGUUUCCUUGAGUGUAGAUGAAGUAGGCGGAAUUUGUGGUGUAGCGGUGAAAUGCAUAGAUAUCACGAGGAACUCCGAUUGCGAAGGCAGCUUACUAAGCUACUACUGACGCUCAGGCACGAAGGCGUGGGGAUCAAACAGGAUUAGAUACCCCCGGUAGUCCCUGA
rnacentral:rRNA from 1 species